rnacentral:rRNA from 1 species
UACGGAGGGUGCAAGCGUUGUUCGGAAUCAUUGGGCGUAAAGCGCGUGUAGGCGGCUUGGCAAGUCGGUUGGGAAAGCCCGGGGCCCAACCCCGGAACUGCAUCUGAAACUGCCUGGCUAGAGUCCCGGAGAGGAAGGCAGAAUUCCCGGUGUAGGGGUGAAAUCCGUAGAUAUCGGGAGGAAUACCAGCGGCGAAGGCGGCGUUCUGGACGGUGACUGACGCUGAGACGCGAAAGCGUGGGGAGCAAACAGG